GAAAGCUCCUUCGGGAGUGAGUACAGCGGCGGACGGGUGAGUAACACGUGAGGAUCUACCUUUCAGAGGAGGAUACCCCUGAGAAAUCAGGGUUAAUACUGCAUACGUCCCUUCGGGGAGAAAGAUGGCCUCUUGCUAUCGCUGGAAGAUGAACUUGCGGACUAUUAGCUUGUUGGUGGGGUAAAGGCCUACCAAGGCGAUGAUGGUUAGCCGACCUGAGAGGGUGUUCGGCCACAUUGGAACUGAGAAACGGUCCAGACUCCUACGGGAGGCAGCAGUGGGGAAUCUUGCGCAAUGGGCGAAAGCCUGACGCAGCGACGCCGCGUGGGGGAUGAAGGUCUUCGGAUUGUAAACUCCUGUUAAGUGGGAAGAAAAGCCUGUUUCUAAUACAAGCAGGUUAUGACGGUACCAUUAGAGAAAGCACCGGCUAACUUCGUGCCAGCAGCCGCGGUAAUACGAGGGGUGCAAACGUUAUUCGGAAUCAUUGGGCGUAAAGGAUGUGUAGACGGUAUAUUAAGUCAACUGUUAAAUUCUCCGGCCUAACCGGAGGCCAGCAGUAGAAACUGGUAUACUAGAGGGUGAGAGAGAGAAGUGGAAUUCUCGGAGUAGCGGUAAAAUGCGUGGAUCUCGAGAGGAACACCGAUGGCGAAGGCAGCUUCUUGGCUCAUUCCUGACGUUGAGACACGAAAGCGUGGGGAGCAAACAGGAUUAGAUACCCUGGUAGUCCACGCCGUAAACGAUGAUCACUAGACGUUAAUUUUGUUU
rnacentral:rRNA from 1 species